AGAGUUUGAUCAUGGCUCAGAUUGAACGCUGGCGGCAGGCCUAACACAUGCAAGUCGAGCGGUAGCACAGAGAGCUUGCUCUCGGGUGACGAGCGGCGGACGGGUGAGUAAUGUCUGGGAAACUGCCUGAUGGAGGGGGAUAACUACUGGAAACGGUAGCUAAUACCGCAUAACGUCGCAAGACCAAAGUGGGGGACCUUCGGGCCUCAUGCCAUCAGAUGUGCCCAGAUGGGAUUAGCUGGUAGGUGGGGUAACGGCUCACCUAGGCGACGAUCCCUAGCUGGUCUGAGAGGAUGACCAGCCACACUGGAACUGAGACACGGUCCAGACUCCUACGGGAGGCAGCAGUGGGGAAUAUUGCACAAUGGGCGCAAGCCUGAUGCAGCCAUGCCGCGUGUGUGAAGAAGGCCUUCGGGUUGUAAAGCACUUUCAGCGGGGAGGAAGGCGGUGAGGUUAAUAACCUCAUCGAUUGACGUUACCCGCAGAAGAAGCACCGGCUAACUCCGUGCCAGCAGCCGCGGUAAUACGGAGGGUGCAAGCGUUAAUCGGAAUUACUGGGCGUAAAGCGCACGCAGGCGGUCUGUCAAGUCGGAUGUGAAAUCCCCGGGCUCAACCUGGGAACUGCAUUCGAAACUGGCAGGCUAGAGUCUUGUAGAGGGGGGUAGAAUUCCAGGUGUAGCGGUGAAAUGCGUAGAGAUCUGGAGGAAUACCGGUGGCGAAGGCGGCCCCCUGGACAAAGACUGACGCUCAGGUGCGAAAGCGUGGGGAGCAAACAGGAUUAGAUACCCUGGUAGUCCACGCUGUAAACGAUGUCGAUUUGGAGGUUGUGCCCUUGAGGCGUGGCUUCCGGAGCUAACGCGUUAAAUCGACCGCCUGGGGAGUACGGCCGCAAGGUUAAAACUCAAAUGAAUUGACGGGGGCCCGCACAAGCGGUGGAGCAUGUGGUUUAAUUCGAUGCAACGCGAAGAACCUUACCUGGUCUUGACAUCCACAGAACUUUCCAGAGAUGGUUUGGUGCCUUCGGGAACUGUGAGACAGGUGCUGCAUGGCUGUCGUCAGCUCGUGUUGUGAAAUGUUGGGUUAAGUCCCGCAACGAGCGCAACCCUUAUCCUUUGUUGCCAGCGGUUAGGCCGGGAACUCAAAGGAGACUGCCAGUGAUAAACUGGAGGAAGGUGGGGAUGACGUCAAGUCAUCAUGGCCCUUACGACCAGGGCUACACACGUGCUACAAUGGCAUAUACAAAGAGAAGCGACCUCGCGAGAGCAAGCGGACCUCAUAAAGUAUGUCGUAGUCCGGAUUGGAGUCUGCAACUCGACUCCAUGAAGUCGGAAUCGCUAGUAAUCGUAGAUCAGAAUGCUACGGUGAAUACGUUCCCGGGCCUUGUACACACCGCCCGUCACACCAUGGGAGUGGGUUGCAAAAGAAGUAGGUAGCUUAACCUUCGGGAGGGCGCUUACCACUUUGUGAUUCAUGACUGGGGUGAAGUCGUAACAAGGUAACCGUAGGGGAACCUGCGGCUG
rnacentral:rRNA from 1 species